rnacentral:rRNA from 1 species
UACGAAGGGGGCUAGCGUUGUUCGGAAUUACUGGGCGUAAAGCGCGUGUAGGCGGGUCUUUUAAGUCAGGGGUGAAAUGCCAGGGCUCAACCUUGGAACUGCCUUUGAUACUGGAGACCUUGAGUCCGGGAGAGGUGAGUGGAAUUGCGAGUGUAGAGGUGAAAUUCGUAGAUAUUCGCAAGAACACCAGUGGCGAAGGCGGCCAACUGGUCCGGUACUGACGCUGAGGUGCGAAAGCGUGGGGAGCAAACAGG